GUGUCAGCAGCCGCGGUAAGACGAAGGGGGCUAGCGUUGUUCGGAUUCACUGGGCGUAAAGGGUGCGCAGGCGGCCGGGUGUGUCGGGUGUGAAAGCUCGAGGCUUAACCUCGAAACUGCGCCCGAAACUAUCCGGCUAGAGUACUGGAGAGGGAAGCGGAAUUCACGGUGUAGCAGUGAAAUGCGUAGAUAUCGUGAGGAACACCAAUGGCGAAGGCAGCUUCCUGGACAGUUACUGACGCUCAGGCACGAAAGCGUGGGGAGCAAAAGGGAUUAGAUACCCCCGUAGUCC
rnacentral:rRNA from 1 species